rnacentral:rRNA from 1 species
CGUGUAGGCGGUUUGUUAAGUCUGGCGUGAAAGCUCUCGGCUAAACCGGGAGAGGUCGUUGGAUACUGGCAAACUUGAGGAUGGUAGAGGCGUGUGGAAUUCCGGGUGUAGUGGUGAAAUGCGUAGAGAUCCGGAGGAACACCAGUGGCGAAGGCGACACGCUGGGCCAUACCUGACGCUAAAGCGCGACAGCAUGGGGAGCAAACGGGAUUAGAAACCCCGGUAGUCCAUGCCGUAAACGAUGCCAGCUAGAUGUUCAGAGGGCGCAAGCCGUCGGGGUAUCGAAGCAAACGCGAUAAGCUGGCCGCCUGGGGAGUACGGUCGCAAGGCUAAA